AUCGAACGCUGGCGGCAGGCUUAACACAUGCAAGUCGAACGAGAGGCGGACGGGCGAGUAAUGCUUGGGAAUCAAGCUAAUGGAGGGGGAUAAAGAGGGGAAACUAUAGCUACUACCGCGUAACAUAGGAUGAGCUCAAGUUGGAGUAGGUAGUUGGGGAGGUAAAGGCUCACCAAGCCUACGAGUUCUAGCUGGUCUGAGAGGGUGACCCGCCUCACUGGGACUUAGACAGGGCCCAGACUCCUACGGGAGUCAGCAGUGGGGAAUAUUGCGCAAUGGAGGAAACCUGACGCAGCCAUGCCGCGUGAAUGAAGAAGGCCUUCGGGUUGUAAAGGUCUUUUGGUAGCGAGGCGUUAACUACAGAAGAAGCCCCGGCUGACUCCGUGCCAGCAGCCGCGGUAAUAC
rnacentral:rRNA from 1 species